GACAGGAAAUAGGACAGGAAAGGACGGAAUGAGCUUCCUGCGUGUGACAGCCCGGCUACCGUGUGGGGAGUAAACUUCAGCCAUUGCGCCUCCUUGCAUUCUGGAAGCAACCCACUCAACAUUUAAAGUCCUAAGAAAGAGUCAGACUGGUGAAAGGUAAAAGAUACUUACGUGGGUCACUGUCCAUUAUUCAGAAACGAAAGAGAUAUUUGACUGUUUAUUACACAUGGACUCUUAACGGUCGCCUCAGCGGAAGAUCAAUGGAGUCCACACGGAAAGUUUCGACGGCCCUGAGCUCUCCACAUCAAGGUCCUAAUGCACCAGCCGGGAGUCACACGUGGCUUUGAGUGGUCGAAAUGUGUUCGUGUGACUGAGGAACUAAAUUUGUUCAGCUUUAAUUAUUUGUAAAUUUAAAUUUAAGAACUGAAUCUCAAUUCAGUCAUUGGAAAACUUUUAAGUACAUUUAGAACAACUUGGUUAUGUGAAUCUACAUUUUCCACUGUGCAUCUUAUGAAAUCUGAAGAUAUAUCAAGCAUUUCCGAUGACGCUUCACCAUAGGUGUAGAAGUGUAAGUUGUGUGUCAGUGUGAGUGUGGAAAACUCACUAGCUUUCCAAGAAUUAGUGUGAAAACAAGAACUGAAGAAUGUAAAAUAGCAUUAAUAAUUUUGGGGCUGGAUCACAUGUUGAAAUGAUAAUAUUUGGGGUAUAUUGGAUUACAUACAAUAUAUUAUCCAUUAAUGUUACCUUUUUCCUUUUUUAAAAUACGGCUCCUGGAAAAUCUGACACGGCCUUUGUGGCUCGCGUUGUAUUCCUGUGAGACGGCGCUGUUCCAGGACUCGGGUGAGGCUGCCCGGCUGUGAGGCCCCAGCAGAGCCUGAGGACCGGCCUUGGCCCCGCCACAGAGCAUCUUUAGUUAAAAGUCUGCUCUGAAUUGAAGCAGGAAGUUUCCUCCAUGGACUGCGUCUGUUUGCUUUUUGUUUGUGUGUUAAAUGAGAACUGGUGUGCUGGUAAACCCGCGCAUCUGCUGUAAAGUGUGACAUUCACGGUCUCAAGGUCAUUACCACAGACUAAGCAUUUACAAAGGGCCAGUGUGAUGGCUAAUUUCGUGUGUCAACCUGACUGGCCUAGGGAUGCCCAGACACCUAGUAAGACAUUAUUUCUGGGCGUGUCUGUGAGGCUUUUUCUGGAAGAGAUUAGCAUUUGGUUCAGUACACUGAGUAGAGAAACGCCCUCCCCAGUGUGGGCGGCAUCAUCCAGUCGUAUGGGGGCCCAAAUGGAACAAAACGGUGAAGGAAGGGCAAUUCUCUCUCUUCUGGAGCUGAGCUGUCCACCUUCUCCCGCCCUCGGACGUCUGAGCUCCUGCUUCUUGGGCCUGAGGCCUCCGGGACUUGCACCAGCAGCUGCCCUGGUUCUCAGGCCUUUGGAUUCAGAUGGAGUUACACCGCUGGUUCUCUGGCUCUGCAGCUGGCGGACAGCAGACUGUGGGACUUCUCAGCCUCCGCAACCACGUUCUGGAACUUCAGAUGGCUCAGCUUUACUUCUGCCUUUAACAUGAAAACAGCAGCAGCAGAGACGACCGCACUACUCAAACCACAUCCGCCCAGCCCUUCACAGCCUUCCCCACAGGCGGAUGAGGGAGAGAUGGAGAAACCGAGGCCGAAGGCCACAGUCUGGUGAGGUCGUCGCCUCCACCUUUUCUGCACGCCCGGUGUUAACAGAGCCUCUUCCCAAAUAGAACUGCUGUUUCCCCGUCACAGUCCUCAGUGCGUCUCGAGCACCAUGGCAGAGAGGCUCCGUCACACGCCACGGACGCUGUUCAGUGUGUCGGAGGCAGAGGCGGCCGUAGAAGCCGCUUCCCCACUCGCACAUUUGCAGAGGAAAAUGAGGCACCACAGGGUCAAAUGCCUGGCCCUGGUGCGGGUUAACAGAGGAGCCUGGAACAGAACUCGGGUCCCCUGAUCCUCCUGUCAAUAUUCACUCCUCUACACCCUUCAGCCUGCGUGCGUGUGCAGGCGUGUGUGCACAAGUGUGUGUGGGAGAGAGUGUGCGGGAGUGUAUGUGUGAGAGCAUGAGAGAGUAUGUGUUUGAGUGUGUGGACGUGUGAGAUAAAGUGUGUCUGUGUGAGAGAGAGAGUGUGCGUGAGACCAUUAUGAGUUGACAGUUUGUGUUCCCCGGGACUGACGUGAAGCCCUCGCCUUCAACGUGGUGGUGUCUGCAGGGGCCUUUGGGAGGUCACUGGGUUUGGACGAGUCGUGAGGGUGGAGCCCCCGUGAUGGCAUCAGUGCCCUUAUGGGAAGAGGAAGACACCAGAGCUCUCUCUCUGCCAUGUUAGGCCCCGGAGAGGAGGCUGCUGUCUUCGUCCAGGACGAGAGCCCUCGCCAGGGACAGAAUGUGCCGGCACCUUGAUCCUGGGCUUCCCAGCCUCCGGGACUGGAAUAAACAUCUGCCGUUUAGGCAACCUGGCCCAUGGUUUUCUUAUCUUCUGUUACACCUGAGCUAAGACAGUGUGCGAGUGUGUGAGAGAGGGAGCGUGUCUGUAGGAGAGAGUGUGUGCGAGAGUGUGUGUAUUUAUGCGCAUAUUUGAAAGUGAGUUGGAGAGAGCGUGUGCUUUUGCCCACUAAUACUUCUGUGUAUAUUUCCUAAGAAAAAGGAUAGUGCUUUAUGCAACCGUAGCACAGUUAGCAAAAUCUGCAAAUUUAACAUCGAUACAAUACUAUUACUCAAUCCACAGACCAUGUCUAAAUCUCAUCAAUCCGCACCACAAAGGAAUGCCCUUUAUAGCUCUGCUCUGUCUCUUUAGCCUUCUUUAAGUUUGGACAGCUCCUCAUCUUUUUUCAGUGAGAGUUGACCUUGGCGUUUUUGAGGAGUACAACCCAGUUCAUUUUAUAGAAUGUUUAUCCAUUUGGCUUUGAUCAUUUGAGUAUCUAAACAGCGAGCGGUUCUGGUCCCCGGCAGGGUGGAGCGAGCCCACUGCACUGACUCUCCCACUGAAUGUGGCUGUAAACCUGCACCAACGCACAGGGCAGCCGUCCGAGGACUCUGGGAAGUAAACGGUAGAGACCAGAGUGGAAAGCACCACUGACCGGAGGUUUGGACGAACGUGUAAUAUCAUGUCUCUGCCAUCAUAGCAUCAUUCAGAACAGUUUCACUGCCCUAAAAAGCCCCUGUGCUCCGCCCCUUCACCUUUGCCUCCCACCCUCCCUCGCAAACUCUGGCACCCGCCCAUCCUUUUAUGGUCGCCACAGUUUGGCCUUUAUCAGAAUGUCACGUGGUUGGAAUCAGGCAGUAUGCAGCCUUUUUUGGCUCCUUUCACUUAGUAUUGUGCAUUUAAAGUUCCCUCCAUGUCUUUUUGUGGCUUGAGAGCUCAUUUCUUUUGACCACUGAAUAAUAUUC
rnacentral:lncRNA from 1 species